rnacentral:misc_RNA from 1 species
AACGCACAUUGCGCCCGCCAGCUAUUCUGGCGGGCAUGCCUGUUCGAGCGUCAUUUCAACCCUCAAGCCCCAGUGGCUUGGUGUUGGCGACGCGGCCGGUCUCAGCGCCGGCCGCCGCCGAAAUGCAGGGGCGGUCGCCUCGCGGCAACCAUUACGCAGUAGUAACAUCUCGUAACUGGGACGCGGGGCGGCCACGCCUAACCCACUCAUUUUUUUAGAGUUGACCUCGGAUCAGGUAGGGAUACCCGCUGAACUUAA